rnacentral:rRNA from 1 species
UACGGAGGAUGCAAGCGUUAUCCGGAAUGAUUGGGCGUAAAGCGUCCGCAGGUGGCAAUGUAAGUCUGCUGUUAAAGAGUCUAGCUCAACUAGAUAAAAGCAGUGGAAACUACAUAGCUAGAGUACGUUCGGGGCAGAGGGAAUUCCUGGUGUAGCGGUGAAAUGCGUAGAGAAUCCGGAAGAACACCGGUGGCGAAGGCGGCCGCUGGGCAGUUUAGCUGACACUGAGGCGCGACAGCGUGGGGAGCAACAGG